CCCAGCAGCCCACUUUCCCCUUUUCUUGGAUUUCUUUGUUUUCAGUCCAAUUAUCACAAACCGCCCCAAGACGUACCUUAAUUACGUAUUAGUUGCAUAUGGCACCAUAACAGUUUCAAAUCCCAACCCUAACUUACGAACUACCACUUUUUCCUCUUAUCUUGCUACUGCCGACGAAGAACAAGACCACCCAUGGCUUCCGGUGUUCGGUUCAAGGCUCUUUUAUGGUCCCCUCCAUCGCUAGGUCGCUAAGGUACUUGCCACGGUUAGGUGCACUGCGUGAUGUCAAAAACCUUUUCGUCUCGUAACAUUGCAUUUAUUACAUUUAUUUUUUGUUGGAUAGGGCAUUUGUUUUGACGUACGUUUUUACCUUACAUUUAUUACUC